rnacentral:rRNA from 1 species
UACGAAGGGUGCAAGCGUUGUCCGGAAUUAUUGGGCGUAAAGAGCUCGUAGGCGGUUUGUCGCGUCGGCUGUGAAAACUCGGGGCUCAACCCCGAGCCUGCAGUCGAUACGGGCAGACUAGAGUGCUGUAGGGGAGACUGGAAUUCCUGGUGUAGCGGUGAAAUGCGCAGAUAUCAGGAGGAACACCGGUGGCGAAGGCGGGUCUCUGGGCAGUAACUGACGCUGAGGAGCGAAAGCGUGGGGAGCAAACAGG